GAAGUUCCACAUGUAACAAGGUCUCCGUUGGUGAACCAGCGGAGGGAUCAUUACCGAGUUUACAACUCCCAAACCCCUGUGAACAUACCACUUGUUGCCUCGGCGGAUCAGCCCGCUCCCGGUAAAACGGGACGGCCCGCCAGAGGACCCCUAAACUCUGUUUCUAUAUGUAACUUCUGAGUAAAACCAUAAAUAAAUCAAAACUUUCAACAACGGAUCUCUUGGUUCUGGCAUCGAUGAAGAACGCAGCAAAAUGCGAUAAGUAAUGUGAAUUGCAGAAUUCAGUGAAUCAUCGAAUCUUUGAACGCACAUUGCGCCCGCCAGUAUUCUGGCGGGCAUGCCUGUUCGAGCGUCAUUUCAACCCUCAAGCACAGCUUGGUGUUGGGACUCGCGUUAAUUCGCGUUCCUCAAAUUGAUUGGCGGUCACGUCGAGCUUCCAUAGCGUAGUAGUAAAACCCUCGUUACUGGUAAUCGUCGCGGCCACGCCGUUAAACCCCAACUUCUGAAUGUGACCUCGGAUCAGGUAGAAAACCCCCCAAAUUU
rnacentral:rRNA from 1 species